rnacentral:tRNA from 1 species
GGAGGUGUACGCGGAUCUGGUGACCGCCCCGGGCUUCAAACCCGUGGAAACGCCUGAAAAGGCGUUUGGUGGGUUCGAUUCCCAUCCACCUCCG